UAAGGAAUAUUGGACAAUGGAGGCAACUCUGAUCCAGCCAUGCCGCGUGAAGGAAUAAGGCCCUAUGGGUUGUAAACUUCUUUUAGACGGGACAAAACCCCUUUACGUGUAAAGGGUUGAUGGUACUGUCAGAAUAAGCAUCGGCUAACUUCGUGCCAGCAGCCGCGGUAAUACGAAGGAUGCAAGCGUUAUCCGGAAUUAUUGGGUUUAAAGGGUGCGUAGGCGGACUAAUAAGUCAGUGGUGAAAGCCUGCAGCUUAACUGCAGAAUUGCCAUUGAUACUGUUAGUCUUGAGUACAGUUGAGGUAGGCGGAAUGUGUCAUGUAGCAGUGAAAUGCUUAGAUAUGACACAGAACACCGAUUGCGAAGGCAGCUUGCUAAGCUGUAACUGACGCUGAGGCACGAAAGCGUGGGGAGCAAACA
rnacentral:rRNA from 1 species